GCGCGUCGUGGACGUCGGCACGUCCAGCGGCCUGUAAAGCCGUCGCCCCCGGGCACACCUGGAUCGACACCAGGGACGCGCAC
rnacentral:tRNA from 1 species